ACUCAAAGGAAUAGACGGGGGCUCACACAAGCGGUGGAGCAUGUGGCUUAAUUCGAAGCAACGCGAAGAACCUGACCCGGGUUUGACAUGCAUGGAUUAGUUCUGUGAAAGCAGAAUGACGCGGCUUGCCGUGGAACAUGCACAGGUGCUGCAUGGCUGUCGUCAGCUCGUGUCGUGAGAUGUCGGGUUAAGUCCCCUAACGAGCGAAACCCCUGUCGCUAGUUGCCAGCGCGUAACGGCGGGCACUUUAGCGAGACUGCCGGUGUCAAACCGGAGGAAGGUGGGGACGACGUCAAGUCCUCAUGGCCUUUAUGCCCGGGGCUGCACACGUGCUACAAUGGGAUGGUACAGAGCGAUGCGAAACCGCGAGGUGGUGCAAAUCGCAGAAAACAUCCCUCAGUUCGGAUUGCAGGCUGCAACUCGCCUGCAUGAAGCUGGAAUCGCUAGUAAUCGCGCAUCAGCAAUGGCGCGGUGAAUAUGUUCCUGAGCCUUGUACACACCGCCCGU
rnacentral:rRNA from 1 species